AAAGACUCAAUUCCUGGGUUUUAGUGUUCAACGUUUGACCGACCAUCUUAUAUGAAAUUUUAUUAUGAGUAGUAUUUUUAUUAUUGUUAGAUGAUAAAACAUGAAUAAUACUUUAUGCAUAACUUAUCUUUUUAAAUUUUUUCAUAACUUUUUCAAAUAAGACAAACGGUAAAUGUUAGAUACGGAAAUUCAGGAAUUGAGUUUUU
rfam:Oryza meridionalis cultivar OR44 (W2112) chromosome 6, whole genome shotgun sequence.